rnacentral:rRNA from 1 species
UAGAGGAAGUAAAAGUCGUAACAAGGUUUCCGUAGGUGAACCUGCGGAAGGAUCAUUAAAGAGAAAGGGGCUAAACACCCCGACCUCCAACCCUCUGUUGUUAUAACUAUACCGUUGCUUUGGCGGGACCGCGAAGGUCCUCACGGGCUCCAAGCCGCCGCGUCCCCUCACGGGUUCGAGGCGAGUUCCCGCCAGAGUUAAACCAAACUCUUGUUUUUAAACCGGUCGUCUGAGUAAAAAUUUUUGAAUUAAAUCAAAACUUUCAACAACGGAUCUCUUGGUUCUCGCAUCGAUGAAGAACGCAGCGAAAUGCGAUAAGUAAUGUGAAUUGCAGAAUUCAGUGAAUCAUCGAAUCUUUGAACGCACAUUGCGCCCCUUGGUAUUCCGAGGGGCAUGCCUGUUCGAGCGUCAUUACACCACUCAAGCAUCGCUUGGUAUUGGGCUACCGUCCCCCUCACGGGUGGGGCGUGCCUCAAAGACCUCGGCGGAGCCUCACCGGCUUUGGGCGUAGUAGAAUUUCUAAUAACGUCUAUUAACGGAGAGGACUCUUCCCGACUGAAGCCUUUUAUAUUUUUCUAGGUUGACCUCGGAUCAGGUAGGGAUACCCGCUGAACUUAAGCAUAUCAAUA